rnacentral:rRNA from 1 species
UACAGAGGUCCCGAGCGUUGUUCGGAUUCACUGGGCGUAAAGGGUGCGUAGGUGGCCUGAAAAGUUUGAUGUGAAAGCUCAGGGCUUAACCCUGAAAUGGCAUUGAAUACUGUCGGGCUGGAGGUUUGGAGGGGGGACUGGAAUUCUUGGUGUAGCAGUGAAAUGCGUAGAUAUCAAGAGGAACACCAGUGGCGAAGGCGAGUCCCUGGACAACACCUGACACUGAGGCACGAAAGCUAGGGGAGCAAACGGG